ensembl:lncRNA
UUCCUUCUGGAACAUCAAGCCUAUGUCCUUUCCUCUACAAAGUCAGUGCUACAACAUGGUGGCAGAUUUUCUAGACUGUUAAAGGUCGGCAUUUCUUGGCCAUCUAGAAAACAUAUUCAGGAAAAAAACCCCAAAACCUUAAAUGUGAAAAAUCUGCCACUGAAGAACUGGAUUUUCUUCUUAGUGAUGUUCAUAGCCACGGAUGAGGAACGUGAUAUUACUUUAUUUAAAUUCAAAGGCAAUCAGGGUAUUAUUAAUAUUCAAAAUGUGUUUCUAUUAAUUGGUGCCUAUCCAACACGUCAAUACCUGUCAGUGGCUUGA